GGUUCGGUAGUGUAAUGGAUAAGCACGGCAGACCGAACGAUCUGUAAUUGCGGGUUCGAGUCCCGCCUGAGCGU
rnacentral:tRNA from 1 species